rnacentral:lncRNA from 1 species
GUUCAAGAUGCUUGUGCCAUAUGUUUAAGUUCAACCCAUUUUACUACUAAUUGCCCAGCUAUCUAUCAAUUUUUUGAACUUGUGCAAGAGCAAAUUUACUAAGCCCAAAUCCAGACUGCUUCCAGACCAGGUAAUAAUCCAUACUCAAACACUUACAAUCCUGGUUGGAGGAAUCAUCCAAAUUUUUUUUGGAAACCUCAACCUUUAGUUAACCCG